UACGUAGGGGGCAAGCGUUGUCCGGAAUCAUUGGGCGUAAAGCGCGUGUAGGCGGCUCGGUAAGUCCGCUCUGAAAGUCGGGGGUUCAACCCUCGGAUGCGGGUGGAUACUGCCGGGCUAGAGUGCGGAAGAGGCGAGUGGAAUUCCUGGUGUAGCGGUGAAAUGCGCAGAUAUCAGGAGGAACACCAAUUGCGAAGGCAGCUCGCUGGGACGUUACUGACGCUGAGACGCGAAAGCGUGGGGAGCAAACAGG
rnacentral:rRNA from 1 species